rnacentral:rRNA from 1 species
AACGAACGCUGGCGGCAGGCCUAACACAUGCAAGUCGAACGCUCGUAGCAAUACGAGAGUGGCAGACGGGUGAGUAACACGUGGGAACCUUCCCUAUGGUUCGGAAUAGCCCAGGGAAACUUGGGGUAAUACCGGAUAAGCCCUUCGGGGAAAGAUUUAUCGCCAUUGGAUGGGCCCGCGUCGGAUUAGCUAGUUGGUGGGGUAACGGCCUACCAAGGCGACGAUCCGUAGCUGGUCUGAGAGGAUGAUCAGCCACACUGGGACUGAGACACGGCCCAGACUCCUACGGGAGGCAGCAGUGGGGAAUAUUGGACAAUGGGCGCAAGCCUGAUCCAGCCAUGCCGCGUGAGUGACGAAGGUCUUCGGAUUGUAAAACUCUUUUGGCGGGACGAUAAUGACGGUACCCGCAGAAUAAGCCCCGGCUAA